GUGGUGGCUCAGUGGUAGAGCGCUUACCUAGCACAUGUAAAGCACUGGGUUCAAUUCUCAGCACCACA
rnacentral:tRNA from 1 species